AUAUUUACCUGGCAAGGGAGAUAUCAUGAUCAUGAAGUUUGUUUUCCCAGGGCGAGGCUUAUCCAUUGCAGUCCGAAUAAAGUCACUCCUGCUAUUCCCCCAAAUGUGGGAAACUCGACUGCAUAAUGUGUGGUAGUGGGGACUGCGUUCGCACUUACCCCUA
rnacentral:snRNA from 1 species